rnacentral:piRNA from 1 species
UUGGGCUUAACUUGUGGUCAAAACUUGGA